CUGACAAUCAAAAAGUUGAAUUACUGUUCAUUUGUAAAAAGUGCAUAGAGGCGUCAACAGCAAAAGUGUAUAAUAUUGAAAAGUGAAAAAAAUAUGAAAAAGUGUACGUUUAUCUCUUUGUUUAUUUAUUAAUUUUUGUAAAGAAAAUGUCAGCAAGUUAAAUUACAAAAAUAGAAAAGGCUUAAAUAAAAACGCUGGCAAAAAAGAGGCAGAAAAUUUAAUUUUGCAAAAAAGAAGUAGAACUGAAUAUGAGAAAAAUGAAGAAACUGUCCAGAAACGUGAAUUGGUAAAGCAACAUGAGACAGAACUUGAUUUAAAGAGUUUAUUGCAAAAACCGAAAGGUUUUUCAGAUAAAUUAGCCUGCCAAUACAGCUGGAAGGGGACAGGGUAUAUCUGAGUGCAGAAAAGUGUUAUUUAGUUACAGUAAUCAAAAAUAUGUGCCAUCUCAAAUACUCAAGCAACGACAAGAAUAUGAACACAAUCCUACAAAAACAUUUUGUUCACGCUAGAGACCGCGUUACAAAUAGAAAACGGCCCGAUUGCAGUUCCUGAUUUUUUAUUUUUUGAUUUUUCAUUUUUUAUUUCAUUUUUAAAAUUUUUUUCAUUUUCUUAUUUUAUUUUUUACUAUAUUUUUACAAUCGCAUUUAUUGAUAUUACAGUACAAAUUAUAAUCAUAAAAGCUGAAUUAUUUUUAUUUUAAAUAAAUUUAU